CAGUGUUGCAUGCGUGUCGUCAGCUCGUGUCGUGAGAUGUUGGGUUAAGUCCCGCAACGAGCGCAACCCUCAUCCUUAGUUGCCAUCAGGUAAUGCUGGGUACUUUAAGGAAACUGCCAGUGAUAAGCUGGAGGAAGGUGGGGAUGAUGUCAAGUCAUCAUGGCCUUUAUGGGGUGGGCUACACACGUGCUACAAUGGUGUCUACAAUGGGUUGCAAGGUGCGCAAGCUUAAGCUAAUCCCUAAAAGACAUCUCAGUUCGGAUUGUACUCUGCAACUCGAGUACAUGAAGUUGGAAUCGCUAGUAAUCGUGGAUCAGCAUGCCACGGUGAAUACGUUCUCGAGUCUUGUACACACUGCCCGUCACGCCAUGCGAAUUG
rnacentral:rRNA from 1 species